ACCUAUGUGUGUUAGACAUGUCUGUUUGUCAGCAUUCAUCAUGCAUAAUGCAUAUACGCAUAAUCAUAGCAUUCAGAUAUUCAUGUUGCAUCUUUUGCCGUAUAUCUGUUGAUUGUUGUCUCCUGCUAAUUGGUGAUACAGAUCUCCCUAGUAGAUCUCCCCAAAAAGAUGUUGGUGUGUUUGAUCUCUCCAUAUAGAGUCAUCCCCUUAGGCAGAAAGUGUCUACCAUUUCCUUUUGCACUCCCCACUGAGUUAUAUCCUCGUGGAUGAUGGUUGUUUCCG
rnacentral:lncRNA from 1 species